GGCGUCCGAGUUGUAAUUUGUAGAGGAUGCUAUUGGGUUGCCACCGGUCUAAGUUCCUUGGAACAGGACGUCACAGAGGGUGAGAAUCCCGUACGUGACCGGCCAGGCGCUCUCUGUAUAGCUCCUUCGACGAGUCGGGUUGUUUGGGAAUGCAGCCCUAAAUGGGAGGUAAAUUUCUUCUAAAGCUAAAUACCGGCCAGAGACCGAUAGCGCACAAGUAGAGUGAUCGAAAGAUGAAAAGCACUUUGGAAAGAGAGUUAAAAAGCACGUGAAAUUGUUGAAAGGGAAGCGCUUGCAAUCAGUCUCGACGGCGGCUGUUCGGCCUCUCUUCUGAGUGGUUUAUUCAGUCGCCGCCGGGCCAGCAUCAGUUUUGGCGGCCGGAUAAAGGCGCGGGGAAUGUAGCUCCCUCGGGAGUGUUAUAGCCCCGCGUGCAAUACGGCCCGCCGGGACUGAGGUCCGCGCUUCGGCUAGGAUGCUGGCGAAAUGGUUGUAAGCGGCCCGUCUUGAAACACGGACCAAGGAGUCUAACAUCUACGCGAGUGUUUGGGUGUCAAACCCGUGCGCGCAAUGAAAGUGAACGGAGGUGGGAACCGCAAGGUGCACCAUCGACCGAUCCUGAUGUCUUCGGAUGGAUUUGAGUAAGAGCGUAGCUGUUGGGACCCGAAAGAUGGUGAACUAUGCCUGAAUAGGGUGAAGCCAGAGGAAACUCUGGUGGAGGCUCGCAGCGGUUCUGACG
rnacentral:rRNA from 2 species